rnacentral:rRNA from 1 species
CACGAACCGUACGAACGUUAUUCGGAAUUACUGGGCUUAAAGCGUCCGUAGGCGGCUCUGAAGGUGAGGUGUGAAAUCCCACGGCUUAACCGUGGAAUUGCGCUUCAAACCACAGGGCUUGAGUAAGUCAGAGGUGAGCGGAACUCACAGUGGAGCGGUGAAAUGCGUUGAUAUUGUGAGGAACACCGGUGGCGAAAGCGGCUCACUGGGGCUUUUCUGACGCUGAGGGACGAAAUCUAGGGGAGCGAACGGG